UACAGAGGGGGCGAGCGUUGUUCGGAAUUACUGGGCGUAAAGGGCGCGUAGGCGGCCUGCUAAGUCGAACGUGAAAUCCCCGGGCUCAACCCGGGAACUGCGUCCGAUACUGGCAGGCUUGAAUCCGGGAGAGGGAUGCGGAAUUCCAGGUGUAGCGGUGAAAUGCGUAGAUAUCUGGAGGAACACCGGUGGCGAAGGCGGCAUCCUGGACCGGCAUUGACGCUGAGGCGCGAAAGCCAGGGGAGCAAACGGG
rnacentral:rRNA from 1 species